rnacentral:rRNA from 1 species
GGGCGAGUUUGAUCAUGGCUCAGAACGAACGCUGGCGGCAGGCUUAACACAUGCAAGUCGAACGCCCCGCAAGGGGAGUGGCAGACGGGUGAGUAACGCGUGGGAAUCUACCCAGUUCUACGGAACAACUGAGGGAAACUUCAGCUAAUACCGUAUACGCCCCAAGGGGGAAAGAUUUAUCGGAAUUGGAUGAGCCCGCGUUGGAUUAGCUAGUUGGUGAGGUAAUGGCCCACCAAGGCGACGACGGGUAGCUGGUCUGAGAGGAUGAUCAGCCACACUGGGACUGAGACACGGCCCAGACUCCUACGGGAGGCAGCAGUGGGGAAUCUUGCGCAAUGCGCGAAAGCGUGACGCAGCAACGCCGCGUGGGUGAAGAAGGCCUUCGGGUUGUAAAGCCCUUUCAGGAGGGACGAAGGUUCGGCCGUUAAUAGCGGUCCGGACUGACGGUACCUUCACAAGAAGCCCCGGCUAACUACGUGCCAGCAGCCGCGGUAAUAA